rnacentral:ncRNA from 2 species
UAUAAUAGAGUUCUCCGAUCCGCCCGGCCUGAUCUUUAGAUGGCUCGGCGGACGUUAGGGUGCGGUUCGAAAGGAUCGCGCCUCCCAUUUUGGAAAGGAGAAAUAUGAACGGCAUC